rnacentral:rRNA from 1 species
CCUACGGGAUGCAGCAGUGAGGAAUAUUGGUCAAUGGGCGUAAGCCUGAACCAGCCAAGUCGCGUGAGGGAUGAAGGUUCUAUGGAUUGUAAACUUCUUUUAUAAGGGAAUAAAGUGUGGGACGUGUCCUGUUUUGUAUGUACCUUAUGAAUAAGGAUCGGCUAACUCCGUGCCAGCAGCCGCGGUAAUACGGAGGAUCCGAGCGUUAUCCGGAUUUAUUGGGUUUAAAGGGUGCGUAGGCGGCCUUUUAAGUCAGCUGUGAAAGUUUGCGGCUCAACCAUAGAAUUGCCGUUGAUACUGGGAGGCUUGAGUAUAGUUGAGGCAGGCGGAAUUCGUGGUGUAGCGGUGAAAUGCUUAGAUAUCACGAAGAACCCCGAUUGCGAAGGCAGCCUACCAAGCCAUGACUGACGCUGAUGCACGAAAGCGUGGGUAUCAAACAGGAUUAGAUACCCCAGUAGUC